rnacentral:sRNA from 1 species
CGUGAGGGAUAGCAGUGGAAAUUCUUUUUUGCCCUUUUUUUGGGCAAAAAAGAUUAUUUCACAAUAUGAUAUUUC